rnacentral:rRNA from 1 species
GACGGAGGGUGCUAGCGUUGUUCGGAAUUACUGGGCGUAAAGGGCGCGUAGGCGGCUACGGCAGUCGGGUGUGAAAGCCCGGGGCUCAACCCCGGAACUGCAUCCGAUACUCUGUGGCUAGAGACCGGAAGAGGUGGGUGGAAUACCCAGUGUAGAGGUGAAAUUCGUAGAUAUUGGGAAGAACACCGGUGGCGAAGGCGGCGAGCUGGUCCAUUGCUGACGCUGAGGCGCGACAGCGUGGGGAGCAAACAGG